CCUACGGGAGGCAGCAGUGGGGAAUAUUGGGCAAUGGGCGCAAGCCUGACCCAGCAACGCCGCGUGAAGGAAGAAGGCUUUCGGGUUGUAAACUUCUUUUGUCAGGGACGAAGCAAGUGACGGUACCUGACGAAUAAGCCACGGCUAACUACGUGCCAGCAGCCGCGGUAAUACGUAGGUGGCAAGCGUUAUUCGGAUUUAAUGGGUGUAAAGGGCGUGUAGGCGGGGAGGCAAGUCAGAUGUGAAAACCACGGGCUCAACCUGUGGCGUGCAUUUGAAACUGGUUGUCUUGAGUGGAGUAGAGGUUGGCGGAAUGCCGAGUGUAGCGGUGAAAUGCGUAGAUAUUCGGAGGAACACCGGUGGCGAAGGCGGCCAACUGGGGUUUAACUGACGCUGAGGCUCGAAAGUGUGGGGAGCAAACAGGAUUAGAUACCCCAGUAGUC
rnacentral:rRNA from 1 species